GAAGGAGAAGUCGUAACAAGGUUUCCGUAGGUGACCUGCGGAAGGAUCAUUGAUGAACCUAUUAAUAAGAAAAGCAUGACCUGUGCAUUUGUUCUCUUGAGAAGUUUCAGUCCAGGGGGAUUAUGGGAUGUACGGUUAGGGCUUCCCAUUAAUUGACUGUCUUAGUUGCAGGUAGUUUUGGGAUCCUUUGACCUGUCCAUUCUCUGGUCUCUCCUUGCUGUUACUCUGCUAACGGGGGUUGAGCCUGCAGUAUUGUAUUGUCGGCGAUCCCCUCGCGUAGCAAAACACAACAACCAACCCCGGCGUUAAAUGCGCCAAGGAACAGAUAAAUGGACAAGUGCAUCUUAAGCCUCCCGGAUACGGGCAAUGGCUUAGGAGCAUUGGUACGUCAUGUGUAUCCACAAUGACUCUCGGCAACGGAUAUCUUGGCUCUCGCAUCGAUGAAGAACGUAGCGAAAUGCGAUACUUGGUGUGAAUUGCAGAAUCCCGUGAACCAUCGAGUUUUUGAACGCAAGUUGCGCCUGAAGCCAUUAGGCUGAGGGCACGUCUGCCUGGGUGUCACACAAAUUUGCCCCAAUCCAUCUCUCUCCCCCUCAGCGAUGUGAGGGAGAGUUCGUUGCUUGGGGACGGGUGUUGGCCUCCCACGGACAAGUGACGUGGUUGGCUUAAAUAUGAGCCCGUGGGUGUUGACAAACACGUUUAUUGGUGGAAGAGCAAAAAUGGCUUGAUCAACCCGAACGUGCGAGUCCCUCCCACAUACACGGGCUAAAGACCCCUGAGUUAGAGCCUCACAAUGCGACCCCAGGUCAGACGGGGCUACCCGCUGAGUUUAAGCAUAUCA
rnacentral:rRNA from 1 species